rnacentral:rRNA from 1 species
UACAGAGGUCCCAAGCGUUGUUCGGAUUCACUGGGCGUAAAGGGUGCGUAGGUGGCGAGGUAAGUCGGAUGUGAAAGCUCGGAGCUCAACUCCGAAAUGGCAUUGGAAACUACCUUGCUCGAGGGUUGGAGGGGGGACUGGAAUACUUGGUGUAGCAGUGAAAUGCGUAGAUAUCAAGUGGAACACCAGUGGCGAAGGCGGCUCACUGGCCCGGUACUGACGCUGAGGCACGAAAGCGUGGGGAGCAAACAGG